AUGAACGCUAGCGGCAGGCUUAACACAUGCAAGUCGAGGGGCAGCAUUGUGAGUAGCAAUACUUACAGAUGGCGACCGGCGCAAGGGUGCGUAACGCGUGAGCAACAUGCCCGUAACAGGGGGAUAAUCCAGGGAAACUUGGUCUAAUACCGCAUAAUAUCAAUUAGAGGCAUCUUUGAUUGAUUAAAAUUUCGAUGGUUACGGAUUGGCUCGCGUGACAUUAGCUAGAUGGAGAGGUAACGGCUCACCAUGGCGACGAUGUCUAGGGGAACUGAGAGGUUUAUCCCCCACACUGGUACUGAGACACGGACCAGACUCCUACGGGAGGCAGCAGUGAGGAAUAUUGGUCAAUGGGCGAGAGCCUGAACCAGCCAAGUCGCGUGAGGGAAGACGGUACUAAGUAUUGUAAACCUCUUUUGUCAGGGAACAAAGAGACCACGUGUGGUAAGAUGAGUGUACCUGAAGAAAAAGCAUCGGCUAACUCCGUG
rnacentral:rRNA from 1 species